ACUCGUGAGGUCACGACCUGAGCUGAGGUCAGCCGCUCAAGGGACUGAGCCACCCAGGCGCCCCACCGCUACGGUCUUAAGGCAGAAUUUCUUCUUCUCCAGGAAACCACACGUUUCCCCCCGUAAGGCCUUCAACUGAUUGGAUGAGUCACCUUCUUAACUUAAGGGUAACUGAUCACAGGUGUUCACCACAUCUACAAAUUACCAUCAUGGCAACAGGUGGAGUAGUGUUUGAUUACACACGUGGGCGCUCUAAGCUCGCCACGUUAACACUAAAGACCAAUCAUCACACGGUCCCAUGAGGGGGAGGCUUCUCCCAAUUUACAGAUGGAACAAGAGAGGCUUCGAGAAGUCAAGUAAAGUGCCCGUGGGCGGAGGAGUGGUGUGGGUCAGAGUCAAGUUCUGUCCUUGGUUCUGUGUAGCUCCAAAGCCCACCCCUUAACUCCCGUAGCCUCUGCCUCUCGGGUCAGAAAUCUGAACAAAUCGGAGCCGGCUAUGCAGACUUUCUACUUUGCAAGAAGGGCUUUGGGGAGGAAGUAUUUCAGCUUCCUUCUGAGGUAGCGUUUGCUUUUCCUUCUGGCCUUUCUUCCCAUGGCUCCUCGGAUUGCUCCUAGCCUCCACGCCAAACUGGCCAAGUGGCUUCCUUGCCUACUCGCAAAAUGAUAAAGACAAUGUAAACUGCUCUCUUCCUCUCUUGAAAGAGCUUUCUUCCCAUCAGUUAGAAGUGGGAGGAAGAACGAACGAAAACAGAUGAGGAAACUGAGGCCCAGAGAGGGGAUUUCGGAUCAUUCAAGAUGGACUCAAGCGGUUGCCAAGGCAACAGUUUUACAGUCGUCACUGCCAUGGAAACCCUUUCUGUGGCAUAAUAUAAAUAUUUUCCUUUAAGAAUGAGACAGGGAGAUAUAAGAGCCCAAGAGAUGGAGGUGGGGGGAGCAAAAAAUGUCGACAAAAAUAGCCCAUAGUCCUGAAGUGGAGAGAGGAUGGAUCGAGAAGAACACAGCACAACUUCUGGGAUAUUCCUGCCGACGAUGUAUAACCUGGAUCUAAUCAGGAGAAAAUAUCAGACAAGCUAAACUGAGGGUCAUUCUGCAAAGUAACUAGCCUGGAAUUUUCAAACGUGUUGAGGCUUGAAAGUUAAGGAAAGAUUGAGCAGCUGUACCAGAUUGAAGACUAAAGACACAGGACAACUAAAUGCAAUGCAUGAUCCCGGACUGAAUUCUUUCACUAUAAAAGAGACAUUAUAUGGGGCGCCUGGGUGGCGCAGUCGGUUAAGCGCCCGACUUCAGCCAGGUCACGAUCUCGCGGUCCGUGAGUUCGAGCCCCGCGUCGGGCUCUGGGCUGAUGGCUCAGA